GCCCUGAAACUCUGGGACAGGAGUCCAGCCCAGGCAUCCCCAGGUUAACAUUCUCUGAUCAAGACUGAACACAGACCACUCACCAUGUGGUUUGUGUUCAGCUGGGUUUUCCUUGUGACUCUUUUAAGAGGUGUCCAAUGUGAGGUGCAGCUGGUGGAGUCUGGGGGAGGCUUGGUGCAGCCUGGGGGGUCUCAGAGACUCUCCUGUGCAGCCUCUGGAUUCACCUUCAGUAGUUACUGGAUGCAGUGGGUCCGUCAGGCUCCAGGGAAGGGGCUAGAGUGGCUUGGUGAAAUUAAAACUGAUGGGAGUAUCACCAACUAUGACACCUCUAUAAAAGGCCGAUUCACCAUCUCCAGAGAUAAUGCCAAGAACAUGCUGUAUCUGCAAAUGAACAGCCUGAGAGCUGAGGACACAGCUGUGUAUUACUGUUCAAAAGACACAUUCCCCUCAGGGAACCUCUGGAUUCCUGAUUCUGUGCUCACCUCUGACGUCUCCGAGGUAGAAAGUCUGUUGUAA